rnacentral:lncRNA from 1 species
CAGGUUGUUUUCACCUCCCUGUGUCUGCUUUGCAAGAAUAUCUCUCCCAUCAGAAGUGAGGACCCUUCGAUUCUGCGUGCUUCUUGUUUCUGGGGUCAUCUGAAUCAUGACCUUCCAUUGGGACACCUGGAUCAGGAGUGCAAUGCGUCAUGGACUUUUAAAAGGAGUCCCAGGUUCCUUAUCGUAAAAUGGGGACUUGGCAGAGGCAGCUCUGGUGUCGUUGAGAAUAGUCACAACAAGGAGGUCUGGGUAGCCCUGAAGACCACUGAGCGAGUGCCUUUUCAGGACAGUGACGGUGAAGCUGCUUCCCGAAUGUCCACUCUCUGCUUACGGAGCAUCCCUCUCUCCUUUUCCUCUGCUCAUUCUGUAACAAAGAUGUCCCCAAAGCACAAUGAAUGAAGAGCUAUAAAGGAAGAAGUGUGACCUUUUAACAAUGAUCAGAUAUGAAGAUAUGAACACAAAAACUUUUGAGGAAUAAGUCCUUGACUUUUGGCUUAAUCAUUUAGCUCAUGCAUAAUUAUAACCAGAAAUUUUUUUUCUGCCAUUUCAACAUUAUACUUCGAUUCACGUUCCUUUACAAUAAUCUCUAAUGAUAUUGCAACUAUGUUUAUUUUUGGGACUCUGAUAAUAGAGAACACAGUCAAUCUAUUGCCAGUUGGACGAUUUAUUUAUUGUGCAUUCAGAGUGAAUGCGAAUUAUCUUAUGUUCCUUGAAAGGAAUUAGACAUGGCUUGAUAUAUUAGUGAAAUCAUUACCAUUUCAUUAAACUGUGUGUUUUGAACCAGACUGCUCUGUAGCUUAUUGAAAUGCAGAAAGUCAUUCUUUUAUGUGCAUAAUCACAGCUGAUGGACAAAUGUACAGCACUCAAAAGCUGCAGCAUUUUGCAUGAAAUAUUUGCCUGUACAUGCAUGAAAUUUUGCACAAAAUGACAAAGGCCUUUAAAUAAAGAAAAAAGUCAUGCAGAACA